UUUGGCGAUGGUUUCACUUCGAUUGACCUCCUGAAACUGAAAUGGUUCACAUAUCAAGAUCUGGUCAGAUCUGACUUUGUAGAAUUAAACCAGGAGCUUGGGAACGAAUUUUUGAAUGAAACAAAUUGGGGGAUGUUUGGUUUAUACCAUGGUGAUAACCGAGAGAGGCAAUUGCUAAGUUGUGAUACUCUCAUACCUUUACUAGAUGCGAACAAUUCCGGAGAAGAAGAAGAAGUGA